AUUAGAGUGGCAGAUUAGUGCGAGGAAUUUAAGCUUCCUAUAUGAUAUUUCCUUUAAUA
rnacentral:tRNA from 1 species